rnacentral:rRNA from 1 species
CCUACGGGAGGCAGCAGUGGGGAAUAUUGCACAAUGGGCGCAAGCCUGAUGCAGCCAUGCCGCGUGUGUGAAGAAGGCCUUCGGGUUGUAAAGCACUUUCAGCGGGGAGGAAGGCGGUGAGGUUAAUAACCUCAUCGAUUGACGUUACCCGCAGAAGAAGCACCGGCUAACUCCGUGCCAGCGGCCGCGGUAAUACGGAGGGUGCAAGCGUUAAUCGGAAUUACUGGGCGUAAAGCGCACGCAGGCGGUCUGUCAAGUCGGAUGUGAAAUCCCCGGGCUCAACCUGGGAACUGCAUUCGAAACUGGCAGGCUAGAGUCUUGUAGAGGGGGGUAGAAUUCCAGGUGUAGCGGUGAAAUGCGUAGAGAUCUGGAGGAAUACCGGUGGCGAAGGCGGCCCCCUGGACAAAGACUGACGCUCAGGUGCGAAAGCGUGGGGAGCAAACAGGAUUAGAUACCCCGGUAGUC